UUUUUCCCUCAACAUAAAUCACCAGAGCAGUAAGGCUAAGCUGAAACUUAAAGAACUUGGCGGUUUUCUAGACCUCCUUGGAGGAGCUUGUCAUCGAAUUGAUAACCCGCAAGAUACCUCACCUGCUCAUGACAAGCCAGCCUGUAUACCAUCGUCGCCAGCUCACCUUGUACAAAGAGUGAGCCAAAAGAAAUAAACUCCAAACGUCAGAUCAAGGUGCAGCCAAUGAGCAGGGGAUAGAUGAGCUACUACACUUGAAAAAUAGAGGAAGCAGAGAUGAAAACCCUGCUGAAAACGGAUUCAACAGUAACAAAGUAUAUAAAGACUUUGUAGAGCAAGCUCUAGAAUGCGC
rnacentral:rRNA from 1 species